UACGAAGGUGGCAAGCGUUACUCGGAAUUACUAGGCGUAAAGGGCAGGUAGGUGGUUUGGUAAGUCUGUUGUGGAAGCUCCCGGCUUAACUGGGAGAGGUCAACGGAUACUACCAAGCUUGAGUAUAGGAGAGGUUACUGGAAUUCCCGGUGUAGCGGUGAAAUGCGCAGAUAUCGGGAGGAACACCAAUGGCGAAAGCAGGUAACUGGACUAUUACUGACACUAAGCUGCGAAAGCUAGGGGAGCAAACAGG
rnacentral:rRNA from 1 species